rnacentral:rRNA from 1 species
CGACCUACUAAAUAGUUCAAGGAAUUCAUUGAAUUCCUUUGCGACUUCUUAGAGGGACUAUCGGUGUGUAGCCGAUGGAAGUUCGAGGCAAUAACAGGUCUGUGAUGCCCUUAGAUGUUCUGGGCCGCACGCGCGCUACACUGGCAGGUUCAUCAAGUUUACAACCUUGACCGAUAGGUCCGGGGAAUCUCUUAAACACCUGCCGUGCUGGGGAUAGAUUAUUGUAAUUAUUAAUCUUCAACGAGGAAUUCCUAGUAAACGCAAGUCAUCAACUUGCAUUGAUUACGUCCCUGCCCUUUGUACACACCGCCCGUCGCU